AAGUUUUGUGUAAAAUGUCGGCGAGCGGCGGACGGCUGAGUAACGCGUGGGAACGUACCCCAAAGUGAGGGAUAACGCAUCGAAAGGUGUGCUAAUACCGCAUAUGGUCUUUGGAUUAAAGCCUUCGGGCGCUUUGGGAACGGCCUGCGUAAGAUUAGAUAGUUGGUGGGGUAAUGGCCUACCAAGUCAACGAUCUUUAACUGGUUUGAGAGGAUGAUCAGUCAGACUGGAACUGAGACACGGUCCAG
rnacentral:rRNA from 1 species